rnacentral:rRNA from 1 species
GAUGAACGCUGGCGGCGUGCUUAACACAUGCAAGUCGAACGGAAAGGCUCCUGCUUGCAGGGGUACUCGAGUGGCGAACGGGUGAGUAACACGUGGGUGAUCUGCCCUGCACUUCGGGAUAAGCCUGGGAAACUGGGUCUAAUACCGGAUAGGACCACAUUUUGGAUGGUGUGGUGGAAAGUUUUUCGGUGUGGGAUGAGCUCGCGGCCUAUCAGCUUGUUGGUGGGGUAAUGGCCUACCAAGGCGUCGACGGGUAGCCGGCCUGAGAGGGUGUACGGCCACAUUGGGACUGAGAUACGGCCCAGACUCCUACGGGAGGCAGCAGUGGGGAAUAUUGCACAAUGGGCGCAAGCCUGAUGCAGCGACGCCGCGUGGGGGAUGACGGCCUUCGGGUUGUAAACUCCUUUCGCUAGGGACGAAGCGCAAGUGACGGCACCUGGAGAAGAAGCACCGGCUAACUACGUG